GCACUAUACCCCCCAGGGGAACCUGGCCCUUAAUUCGAUGAUCCACGAAUCUCUUACCUUUUCUUGUUUAGGCAUGCCCUCUGAGGCAUGCUUCUGUCAGUUUGCAUACCGCCGUUUUCAGCUUGUAUCGUGAGAUGAAAGAAACAGGCUAAUCAGUAUUGUGGCUGUGGCUUGGAAUUAGCCAAGUGAUGGCACUGCUAGGAAUUCAGGUAAACGUGUAGCCAAUGGAAAGGGGGUGCUGGGUUACAGUUGAAGUUUUAAGUGGAGAAUAGCCUGAAAAGGCAUUUGAAAGAGUACUUGGAAGUAAUGACUUUGGGCAAUGAAGUCGUGAAUAGUGCUCUGGUGUGUGU
rnacentral:rRNA from 1 species